GCCAUUUUGUGACGGGCUCCCCACGGAAUUCGCGCUCUGCGUGUUGCGAGGGGGGCCCGGCUCAGGGCCGGGCGGGCCUCGGGACCCCGGUCUGAGGGAAGCACCGCGUGAACAAGGUGUUUGCAGUUGGGAGCGGUGUCGUUAUUCCUCCCUGCAAGUACGCAGAGUUAAAGCGAAGUAACUCCACAGUGCUGAGGCCGAAAAAGGGAAAUGCCAUUAAGUAUGUGGGCUAAAUGAAAGAGAAUACAAAAGCAUUCUUUGAGCAAAAGACAUCUCAAACUUGUCACCAAACAGAUACAACAGGUUUCUUUUCUGCAGUGGAAGAUCUGGAAGAUCUCAUAUAAUUUUCUUGCAAUCUGUAAUUAUGUCUGAUUAUCUAUUUUAAAUAAAAAU